rnacentral:lncRNA from 1 species
AAGGGGAAAGUCACCUUCUCAGUUCCACCUUGGGACUUCUUCACCAGCAGCUGGAAGGUGCACGGUACAUCACAUGACUGCCCUGGCAACUCAGAGAAAACUGAGCUAGGUCUGGGAAGAUGUCUGGGAAGCCAAAGCCGACUGCAGGAAGUAGAGGCAGAAGCAGGAAGUCGUGAGUGUGAGGAGCAAAUCCAGUCCAAGCAGUGGGGCCUGCUCCACUUCGGGGCCAUCUAUAUCAGGCAGGGGCAAGCCAGAAGAGCUCAUCCUGCUGUUAGCCACCUGCUCCAGCCUGACCUGGUCUGCACCUGCUGUCUUUCCAAAGCCUGAAAUACCUACUCUCUUGGAAUGAUAAAACUGAAGGCCUUUACAAGCUGCAGAAGAGAAACUGAAAAGUCUACUCCUCUGUACAGAUGGCGGGGGGAGGGGGGCGAAGAGGGAUGAACAUUAACUAGAAAUAUAGUUGUUGACAAUUUUCAGUUAUCGAUCAAAGGCAGACUUGUGCCUGCAUUAGAUAUGCAUGUAUCCCCCACAUUUUAUAUAAUAAUCAUAUUGAAAACCAGGCAGAGAUUCCAGUGACAAGAAUGAACAUGAUCUUCAACUCUGAUCCUGACUUAAAUUUGUUCUCAGAGCUGAGAAUAUGGAAUAAAGCCAACUCCCACUGAUUCA